rnacentral:rRNA from 1 species
AUUCUUUAGAGCUUGCUUUAAAGGGUCUUAGUGGCGAACGGGUGAGUAACACGUGAGUUACCUGCCCCGAAGUGGGAGAUAGCCCGGAGAAAUUCGGAUUAAUACCCCAUGUGAUCGAAAGAUUAAAGGCGGCGCAAGCUGUCGCUUCGGGAUGGGCUCGCGGCCUAUCAGCUAGUUGGCGGGGUAACGGCCCACCAAGGCGAUGACGGGUAGCUGAUCUGAGAGGAUGAUCAGUCACGCUGGAACUGAGACACGGUCCAGACACCUACGGGUGGCAGCAGUCGAGAAUCAUUCGCAAUGGGCGAAAGCCUGACGGUGCGACGCCGCGUGGAGGAUGAAGGCCCUAGGGUCGUAAACUCCUGUCAUCAGGGAGUAAAGACUCGUGUGGUAACUAACACGGGUCCUGAUAGUACCUGAAGAGGAAGGGACGGCAAACUUCGUGCCAGCAGCCGCGGUAAUACGAAGGUCCCAAGCGUUGUUCGGAUUUACUGGGCGCAAAGAGUCUGUAGGCGGCGGGGUAAGUCAGAUGUGAAAUCCCGGGGCUCAACCCCGGAACUGCAUCCGAUACUGCCUUGCUAGAGUAUUGGAGGGGAGUCUGGAAUUCUCGGUGUAGCAGUGAAAUGCGUAGAUAUCGAGAGGAACACUAGUGGCGAAGGCGAGACUCUGGACAAUUACUGACGCUGAGAGACG